ensembl:miRNA Mir7681 microRNA 7681
AUCCUGUCCUUGCCUUCUCUGUUGGCAUCAGAAACCUACACCUACACUACAGAGAGGGCACUGACAGGAUAG